rnacentral:rRNA from 1 species
GAUGAACGCUGGCGGCGUGCCUAAUACAUGCAAGUCGAGCGAACGGACGAGAAGCUUGCUUCUCUGAUGUUAGCGGCGGACGGGUGAGUAACACGUGGAUAACCUACCUAUAAGACUGGGAUAACUUCGGGAAACCGGAGCUAAUACCGGAUAAUAUUUUGAACCGCAUGGUUCAAAAGUGAAAGACGGUCUUGCUGUCACUUAUAGAUGGAUCCGCGCUGCAUUAGCUAGUUGGUAAGGUAACGGCUUACCAAGGCAACGAUGCAUAGCCGACCUGAGAGGGGGAUGGCCCCCAGUGAAAAGGAAACACGGUCCAGACUCGUAGGGGAGGCAGCAGGAGGGAAUCUACGGAAGGGGGGGAAAGCGUAACGGAGCACCGCGGGGGGAGUGAUGAGGGUCUUGGGAGCGUAAACCUCUGUUAUUAGGAAAAAAAAUAUGUGUAAGUAACUGUACACUUUGUGACGGUACAUAAACAGAAGCCCACGGCAAACUAGGUG